rnacentral:lncRNA from 1 species
CUGCAUCCUUUCCAUAAAAGGCUUGACAAUAAAAACAUACUAUCUGCACAGCCAAGUAGGGUACAGAAGUAGGCUUGAAGCUGUCAUAUUUUCAUGAAAUAACUUUAUUCUGCAGUGUUUUGAUAACUGGACGGCAGCCUGCCCAAAACAAGGUUUCAUAAAAUCCUCGUUUCCCCAAACUCCUCCCCACUGACUUAUGGGAGAACACUUGAAACGGAUCACUGAAGUGAAAAUAUGAGUGGUUUUGUUUUUCAUUUAAAGGGUGAGCAUGAGGAUGGGACAGGGAUUGUUGAUAAAUUUCAACCAUGAUAAAAUACAAUUAUUUACUAAGUGUACCUUGAUCUGAGCACUUGCUAUAGUUUGUUUCCUAAUUUUGCCACCGUUUUUUCUUAUAAGCAGCUCUGCAUACUGUCACACAUGUAUCAGGCAUGUUGUGUCAAAGCUGGUUAUUGCCUCAGUUCUCAGACCAAAUAUUUAUUCAAGUAAG